GCGUGAGUGAAGAAGGCCUUAGGGUUGUAAAGCUCUUUCAGGUGGGAAGAUGAUGACUGUACCACCAGAAGAAGCCCCGGCUAACUCCGUGCCAGCAGCCGCGGUAAUACGGAGGGGGCUAGCGUUGUUCGGAAUUACUGGGCGUAAAGGGCGCGUAGGCGGUUCGGUUAGUCGGGCGUGAAAGCCCCGGGCUCAACCCGGGAAUUGCGCUCGAUACUGCACGAACUCGAGUCCGAGAGAGGGUAGUGGAAUUCCCAGUGUAGAGGUGAAAUUCGU
rnacentral:rRNA from 1 species